rnacentral:lncRNA from 1 species
UGCACUUUACUAUUAUACAUUUUUUAGACUAUAGUUUGCUUUCCCCCCUUGACAAAAUGGAGACAAAGAAGGCAUGAUGAAAGCAUCAACUUGGGCUUGUUCAACAAACAUUAUGACCAUUGGAUUAAGAAUCAAACCUCCACUUCACAUCUUGUUGGGAAAAAAAUGACGACAGCUUGUUGUCUACGAUCUUGCUCGUGGGGUGGGAUAUAACAUAAUAUUCUCAAAGCCUGGAAAGACUCACAAGUAAGGAUAAUUCAGUACACCUAGCAUGAUCGCCUUUCCACCUUAGAGCCUCAAAGAUCAAAUCUUUUUGGUUUGACAUUUAAGUUGUGGGAAUGUUGAUUGAAGUCUGUGCUGUGUUGAAGGGAUAUGUGUAUGAUCAAAUUGAUUACACAAAUUCAGGGUAGCAACAAAACCAAGAAAAGAAUAUAGAAAAAGACAGUUCUCUUCUAUUCUACUAAUAUUAAUGAGUGAUCUUUGCUUAAUGAGUCUCUUCUUUUAUGAUUAAUUAGUUCAAAAAUCAUCCACCUUUACUUGAUAUUAAAUUAUUAAAACUCUAACCACCUCCCAACUAGUAUAGUAGAGUGGAGCUACCAACUUCAAAGCUGACGUUAGGGCUUUGUUAGCUUAGGGCUAGAAUAAUAUACAAAGUUUGGGGCCUAAAUAUUUGCAUUAAAAUUUUACAAAGAUUUAUCUGUUCUUUGUCAAUCUAUACAAAAGUAUAUUGCCUAACUCACCAUUUCAUGGGAAGAUACAAAGCUUUUGAAUCCAAACAAAGUCAAGAGGGAUGAAAUAUGAAGUAGAGGACAAUUACAAAAGUGACAAUGAAUCGUAUAUUGGUUAUGAGUACUUGGCCCCACGUGAAAUUUGUGGUUGGCAGUAAAACAUUGUUUUUUGUAGAUUUUUCGAGAUCUAGGGUUAUUUAACUCUUUGGAUUCUUUUUUGUCAAAUAGCGUUUUAGCAUCCAUGGAAAAUUUCUUCUUUAUGAAGUACAAUUGUUCAUAUCAUUCUCAAGACACUAAUGUCCACUGCAAGAUAAUAUCACAUGUAUUAAAGUAUCAUCGAGCGAUAAAUUUUACCUCUUCAAGAUGGAAAGCGGCUUCCUCGAUCCUCUAAAAAUGCAUAUUUCGAAAACACCUUGACCAUAGUAGUAAUUGUAAGUAAUAGCACCCGGGUCUCAAAAAAUUUCUCCAUGACAAACAACAUAGCACAAUUGUAUGAAAAAAAAGAAAGAAAUGAAAACACACCAGACGGCUGUGAGUUUCCUUUCAAAAACAAAAUGCUGAGAAAGAAAAAAAAAUUGAGAAUUUUUCCCCCAUUUCUUCCAAUUUGUCCUUUUGCUGGUUGGUU